UACGGGGGGAGCAAGCGUUGUUCGGAUUUACUGGGCGUAAAGGGCGCGUAGGCGGUCAGCACAAGUCAGUUGUGAAAUCCCCGGGCUCAACCCGGGAACUGCGUCCGAUACUGGAAGGCUUGAAUCCGGGAGAGGGAUGCGGAAUUCCAGGUGUAGCGGUGAAAUGCGUAGAUAUCUGGAGGAACACCGGUGGCGAAGGCGGCAUCCUGGACCGGCAUUGACGCUGAGGCGCGAAAGCCAGGGGAGCAAACGGG
rnacentral:rRNA from 1 species